ACAUACUAUGUGUACAAAAAUGGGAACAAUGCAGAGAAGAUUGGCAUCGACUCUGUGCAAAGAUGACAUGCACAUUGGGAAGUGCUCCCAAACUUUU
ensembl:snRNA U6 U6 spliceosomal RNA